rnacentral:rRNA from 1 species
GACGAACGCUGGCGGCGUGCUUAACACAUGCAAGUCGAACGGAAAGGCCCUGCUUUUGUGGGGUGCUCGAGUGGCGAACGGGUGAGUAACACGUGAGUAACCUGCCCUUGACUUUGGUAUAACUUCAGGAAACUGGGGCUAAUACCGGAUAGGAGCUCCUGCUGCAUUGUGGGGGUUGGAAAGUUUCGGCGGUUGGGGAUGGACUCGCGGCUUAUCAGCUUGUUGGUGGGGUAGUGGCUUACCAAGGCUUUGACGGGUAGCCGGCCUGAGAGGGUGACCGGCCACAUUGGGACUGAGAUACGGCCCAGACUCCUACGGGAGGCAGCAGUGGGGAAUAUUGCACAAUGGGCGGAAGCCUGAUGCAGAAACGCCGCGUGCGGGAUGACGGCCUUCGGGUUGUAAACCGCUUUCGCCUGUGACGACGCGUGAGUGACGGUAAUGGGUAAAGAAGCACCGGCUAACUACGUG